rnacentral:tmRNA from 1 species
GGGGCUGUUUGGUUUUGACAGCGGGUAGAAGAGGUAUGUAAGCACGCAGUGCAUUGUCGGAUAGCACUUUAAUCAUAGACGGCAAAACAUAACUGGCGAAAAUUCUUACGCUCUCGCUGCCUGAUUGAAUAAUAGUAGAUCUGGCUUCAUUACGGCACAGGUGUCGUAACGGGACAUCUCUCAAAUGCCUUGCCCUGAGGCGGUUUGGUUAAGAGGUGUGGGUAAAAUCGGGGAUAGUCGUUGAUUGCCUCGCAUUAACGAUGAAAAUUUAGAGGAUAAGGCAACUGUUGGUAGCUUCGGUCUUGCAUCUGCUCGAAAAUUUAAGCGAAGAUAAGCGUGUAGAAGGCAUAUUGUUUCCUCGUUUGGACACGGGUUCGAAUCCCGUCAGCUCCACAU